rnacentral:lncRNA from 1 species
GUCUGGGCAGGGUUUUGUUUUCGGCACUGGAGCCUAAAGGUCUUGAUGAGACUGAAGCGGCACUGCCACCAGAGGAGCCAGUCCUGCCCAGAGAAACAAUGUGAGCAAAAUGCAGCUGGGUAUUAUGUAACUCAAUACAUCAAAAAUAUCACUUAAACAAGUAGUAUAGAAUGAUGGGUGGACUACUAGGAAGUUGAUGUAGCAAGGCAUGGCGAGCCAGAGGAGAGAAGGAGACCCCCAGAUGUGCCACACUGGGGAUUUGAAUCACAGCGGGGAGUGGGCAGGGAUGGGGCAGCUGCCUGAGCAAGUGACCACAGUGUGCAAGACCUUUGCAGCAACAGGGGCUGUGUCUGGGGCUGCUCCUGCCACACGCCUGCCUCAGCCAGAGAAAGGCUUUGUGAGAGUCACCAUGUUCCAGCAGACUCCAGACAGGAGGUGUUGGCCCUGAGUCCCCACUAAAAUCAAUGAGUUCUUUAAAGAGCAGACCUAGCUGGGCCUUCAAGAGCCAGUUGUGCCAUCAACACAGACUAAACACUUCUCUCUCCACAAUGUUAGAAUUUGCUGAAUGGCAAUAAAUUCAUGGCUGCCAUUUAGGGGCUGCCAUUCACUGAACACCUGCAGGUCACCUGAUAGGCAGGCAGCUGCUAAAUCUUUCAUCCCAUUCUAAUAUGAAUUUCUAAUAUUGAUUCUGCCGGUUAUCGGUGAUGAAUUCAGCUUCCUCACAUGUUGAAGAUUUAUAUUCCCAAAUGAAGGCUUUGUCCUCUGCAACCUUGUUCUAUUAUCUUCAUGGUGUACACUGACAUGUUCCAGAUGCUGCACCAUUUAUUCAGUACUCAUGUUUUCUGUUUCUCUCAUAGAAGCACUCAUCUCCAGAUGGCUUUACCGCUGUUCUUCCCCAACCAGACUUCAAUCCGACCUGACUUCUAAAAGGGAACUGCUUGCCCACACUGCCCCCUUCCAGCUUGAAGAAGCCAGAACAGUCAUUGUCCCUUUUCCUUAGGGUAGUAAGGAGCUCCUAAAAUCGGGUGGGGGUGUAGCCAGAAUUAGACAGGCAGUCAGUAUAGAUGGGUAAAUCGAGUCAGGUCAGAUCACGGAAGCCAAUUUUGAGUGAGUCUGGGUAGUUGGAGACUGUCCUCUGAAGGAUUGAGAUGUUAAUUCCUUCAGAGCCCUUCCUCCACCCUUAUCAGGAACUUCCCCCUGUUCCAAACUGUUGCCAAGGUAACAUGUCCCAGAAGUUGCCCCUCCCUGCAGGAAGCUAUAAGGUUGUUAAUUAAGCUAUAAGGUUGUCCUUGACUGCUCCAUCCUGCCCUUCCCACUCAGCCCACCUGUUUCACACCUUUUGGGCAUCCCACCAGCAUUUCCUAGGCUUACUCACAUACUCAGAAAGGAGAAAGAUAAGGGGAAGAGGGCAGGAGAGGAAAGGAAAUCUAGGACAUAUAAAGAGGGCAGAACACCGG